rnacentral:rRNA from 1 species
GACGAACGCUGGCGGCGUGCCUAAUACAUGCAAGUCGAACGAGAGCGACCGGUGCUUGCACUGGUCAAUCUAGUGGCGAACGGGUGAGUAACACGUGGGUAACCUGCCCAUCAGAGGGGGAUAACAUCCGGAAACGGAUGCUAAAACCGCAUAGGUCUUCGAACCGCAUGGUUUGAAGAGGAAAAGAGGCGCAAGCUUCUGCUGAUGGAUGGACCCGCGGUGCAUUAGCUAGUUGGUGAGGUAACGACUCACCAAGGCCGUGAUGCAUAGCCGACCUGAGAGGGUGAUCGGCCACAUUGGGACUGAGACACGGCCCAAACUCCUACGGGAGGCAGCAGUAGGGAAUCUUCCGCAAAGGACGCAAGUCUGACGGAGCAACGCCGCGUGAGUGAAGAAGGUUUUCGGAUCGUAAAACUCUGUUGUUAGAGAAGAACAAGUGCUAGAGUAACUGUUAGCGCCUUGACGGUAUCUAACCAGAAAGCCACGGCUAACUACGUG